UCUUCUUCCAGCAUGUUCUUUUUCUGUGAAUUUUUUUUUUCCUCAUAAUUUUUUCGUCUGCAACCAGCCAUACUGAAGGACAUUUUGUUGAACAAAUGCAUCCCGAAAUCGCGCCGGUCACCUUUUAUUGGUGCGCCCUGCUUUGUAUCUCUCCAAUCGGUCAAGAAAUCGCGUGUUUUGCCUUCCUCUAUAUCCUGCAAUUUCGCCUUCCUCAAUGCCCUAAAUCUUCAAUCCAUCAUAGAAAUCAAAAGGGAGUGGAAUCGCUGCAAAGAAAAAUAAGAGAGAAAGACCUGCACAGUGAGGGAGAAACAAAGCUGCCGUUUGGGUUGCUCCGAUUUCUCUUUUCCAAAACUACGGUUUUUGAAGAAUUUGGUCUGUGUCUUCAAGCUCCGUUUGGUUAUGCCGAGAAAUGAACAGUGUCACAGUUUGCUAGAUCAUUUCCAUUUUUCUUCCAUCAACUAAGUGGGACAACUAGAUGGAGGACUGGGGUUAUUUCUUCUUCUCUCAAUUCUUAUCAUGCAUGAAAUCAAUUUGGUGUGCAAUAGCUAUUGGAAGCUUUUUAAAUCUUGGGAUUGGGCAAGCUUACUUUUCAAUUCAUGAGAAUUGUGAUCUAUUAGUUUUCACUUUGCAGCUUUUAUAUGAUAAACAAAGGGAACAACCUAGAAUGGGGCAAUGGAAUAUGAUAAACAAGAGAAUGAUCAACGGCAGUCGAGUGGAUUUUUGAACAUGUGUGAACUUCUCUUCGGGAAUGCACUUAGAUUUUCCAUUUGAUUUUUGUGACCAAGUGAUCAGUAUGUGCAGCAGCGAAGGAAUGAUUAAAUUAGACAAACAGAAAAAAAUCCUUUCAAUUCUUGACAGAGGUAUUGGUAUGACAAAGGAGGAUUUAAUCAAGAACUUGGGUACCAUAGCAAAAUCUAUAACUUCAGCGUUCGUGGAGGAAAUGCAGACAAGUGGAGAUCUCAAUCUCAUUGGGCAGUUUGGAGUUGGUUUUUACUCUGUAUAUCUUGUUGCUGACUACGUUGAAGUCAUUAGCAAACACACAACGAUGACAAACAGUAAACUUUUUGAAUCAAUGUGCCAUUUAGUUUAAACCUUUUGAGUUUUUCUGGCUUUUUUGGUUUGCCUUUUGGUUUGGAAUUUGGUUGUUAUAAAUAGGUCUUCUUGUCAUUACCUGGCUGAAUAUUGGUGAUUAUAUAAAGUAUGACUCAUUUGUAGUAAUGU